GACGUUUAUUUACCUCGCCCACAUGACAUGCCAAUAUUUACUUUGCUGCUAAGCACCAAUGCCUCUAUGUGCCAAGAUCCUUCGGGUCCUGCAUCCUGGCAGAUGGAUUGUCAGCGACAGUACUGAAUAGCAGCCGAAAGCCGGCGACUAUUAACACACACGUCUUGACUUACAGGCAACUGUCAGUUCUUACAGAAGCUAAAACCUACUCAAGAGGUGGGUGAGCAGCUGUGAGAAAGAAGGAACCUCAGAUCACAUGUUCAGCCAGUAAAUAUUUACUGAGCAACUACUAUGCUCAUGAAGACGUGACAGGACGCGAGGAGCACAGUGAAGAACAAAGUGGGCGUGGCCAUUGACAUCCUGGAACCAGCUGCCUGGUUUGGGAAGGAUCAUCAUGCGGACCAUUUCAAACUCAGUACUGUGAUACAUAGCAAAGGAUGAUUCUGAGAAAGUAAAGUCCCAAGCGUUUUCUUCCCUGUCCUGGCUUAGAUGCAGAAUGCUCCAGUCGCCUGGAGACUGUGUUCCAUCAGAGACCUCUGCAGGUGCAGGGAGCUCAACUGCGGGUAACCGUGACGUGCAGGAAGAUCGCAAAAGGAUGCAAGGAUCAGCAGAAGAACUAUUUGCUACAAAGCAUGUGAAUUCAUGUGGACCGAAACUGUGCAUGUAAGGAGCUGGGCGGGGCCUGACAGUGUACUUAAGGGAUCAAUCAAUGUUAGUGGUUGUCGUGUGUGUUCAUCACUAGGCAACAGCAGGCCUCGGACAGGCUUCGCUUUCCCUAGUUCGCUCUGCCCACUCUAUCUUCAGGAAACCCUUCCCACCACUCCCUGCCAAGUCUCCCGAGACAAACACGCAUAUAAAUAGAGCGGUAUAUAUUUAUAUUUCUCAAAACCGUCACGUUUUGCUGAGCUCAUAAAGCACUGCGCAAAUCGUGCUGUCACCCUCUGGAAUGCGUUCUGUCACUCACCGCAGCUUCCUCUCCCGUCUUCCCCGGCUCCCAGAGCUCAGAAAUGAAAGCACAUGCUCUUUCUCUUAAAUCACAUCUGUACUCACCUGAUAGAAUUCUCAGGCCCCCCUUCCUUGAGCCACAUGGUAAAAUUCUUUGGCCAGAGGGACCUCCUUCAACUGUUUAUCUUUCUGAGCAAUCCAGCAACUAUUUGUCAUUUGAGAAAAAAAUCAGUGUUUUAAAUCAAAAUUUUUUUAAAAAAAAGAAAAGCUACCUAUGAAAGGAUUGUACUAGUUAGUUUUCAUUGUCAGCUUGACACAAUCUGGAGUCACCGGAACUGAGCAAUUGUCCAUAAGAGGUUGUCUGCACUGGUGAUGGAUGUGAGAUAAUCAAGCCCACUGUGGGUGGCACCAUUCCUAGGCAAGACGCCCUGUGCAGUACAAAAAAAAAAAAAAAGCCAGCUUUGCCUUAUCCAGUGACUGAGACAGCAAACAACAUUCCUCCACCGAUUUUAUUUCAAGUCGACCCCAAGCCCCUGACCUUCCUCAACUCUGGACUGUGAACUCCGAGUGUAAGCGGAAAUAAAUCCUUCCGUCCCCUAGGUUACUUUUGGUGGAAGUGUUUUAACACCGCAACGGAAAAGAGAACUAGAACGAGAAUCUCAAAUAUGCUCUCCUAAGGGAGAGGAAGGAAAAAAAAGACACAAAACCCUCCACAUGGGAUGAGUCCACACAAUAGAACUUCAGGUCCAUCUAGUAGAACAUCUAGAUCAGGGGAAACUGAUCUGCAGAGGCAGGAAGCAGAUCAGUGGGCGUCUGCAGUCAUGACUAAGGCAACUGCACAGAAGGCAUGCGAGAACACUAGAGAGUUGUCAACAUUCAAUCCUCUACUGUUGAGGUGACUACACUAUGUUGAAAUUCAUAGGCCUGUAUACUUCAAAUGAGUAUAUUUCAUCAUAAACAAAUUGCAACUUAAUGGAGCAAUGUUGGGGGACAGGGUUUCACAAUCUGUUACCCUGGCUAGGCUCAAAUUUGCAGUAACCUGCCUUAGUUCAGCCGCCCUCCCGCCCCGCAUUCAGAAUCCCAGGUGUACACUGCCACACCUGGCAAUAAAGUCAUGUUUGGAAAUGGGAAAGGAUGCACUUUGUUACUUCAUUAGAAAUCAAAAAUAAACCCAGAGGGUUGUAGAAAGAGCUCCAUCAGUAAAGUAAAUGCCUCGUAGGCCUGAAGAUCUAAGUCCAGUCCCCAGCAUCCACAUAAGAAGUCCAAUGUGGUCGACCAUGCUAGGAAUCCCAACACGGGGGAGGCAAAGAUAGUAAGAGCUCUAGGUCUCACUGGCCAGCCAGUCUAGUAAUGAACUCAGUGGUGAGCUCCCGGCCCCAGGGAGAGAUCCUGUCUCAGUAAGCAAGGUGGAUGGCUGCAGAGGAAGUACACCCAAGGUGAGGCUGACCUUUGGUCUCCAUACCCGCAAGCGAGCAAACACACACACACACACAAACACACACACACACACACAUAAAGUAUAUACAGGAGUAAUCCUAAGAAACCCCAACUAAAUAAAUAUACAGAAGUCUUCACAUCUAUUGCUGCCCUCUAGUUUUUAUUCUGGCAAGAAGUUAGUCUUCAGUAAUGAGAGGGGGAGGGCAAGGAGAGUCCAGAGAAAGACAAA